CUUGGUCAUUUAGAGGAAGUAAAAGUCGUAACAAGGUCUCCGUAGGUGAACCUGCGGAGGGAUCAUUACAAGUGACCCCGGUCUUACCACCGGGAUGUUCAUAACCCUUUGUUGUCCGACUCUGUUGCCUCCGGGGCGACCCUGCCUUCGGGCGGGGGCUCCGGGUGGACACUUCAAACUCUUGCGUAACUUUGCAGUCUGAGUAAACUUAAUUAAUAAAUUAAAACUUUUAACAACGGAUCUCUUGGUUCUGGCAUCGAUGAAGAACGCAGCGAAAUGCGAUAAGUAAUGUGAAUUGCAGAAUUCAGUGAAUCAUCGAAUCUUUGAACGCACAUUGCGCCCUUUGGCAUUCCGAAGGGCAUGCCUGUUCGAGCGUCAUUACAACCACUCAAGCACUCGCUUGGCCUUGGGGCACCCGGCGUCGGGGCCCUCAAAACCAGCGGCGGUGCUCGUCAGCUCUACGCGUAGUAAUACUCCUCGCGUCUGGCCCUGGCGAGCCACCGGCCGGCAACCCCCCACACUUCUCAGGUUGACCUCGGAUCAGGUAGGGAUACCCGCUGAACUUAAGCAUAUCAAUAAGCGGAGGA
rnacentral:rRNA from 1 species